rnacentral:hammerhead_ribozyme from 1 species
AUCCAGCUGACGAGUCCUAAACAAGACGAAACAUAUAUCCUGGAU